rnacentral:rRNA from 1 species
GAUGAACGCUGGCGGCGUGCCUAAUACAUGCAAGUCGAGCGAACGGACGAGAAGCUUGCUUCUCUGAUGUUAGCGGCGGACGGGUGAGUAACACGUGGAUAACCUACCUAUAAGACUGGGAUAACUUCGGGAAACCGUAGCUAAUACCGGAUAAUAUUUUGAACCGCAUGGUUCAAAAGUGAAAGACGGUCUUGCUGUCACUUAUAGAUGGAUCCGCGCUGCAUUAGCUAGUUGGUAAGGUAACGGCUUACCAAGGCAACGAUGCAUAGCCGACCUGAGAGGGUGAUCGGCCGCACGGGAACUGAGACACGGUCCAGACUCCUACGGGAGGCAGCAGUAGGGAAUCUUCCGCAAUGGGCGAAAGCCUGACGGAGCAACGCCGCGUGAGUGAUGAAGGUCUUCGGAGCGUAAAACUCUGUUAUUAGGGAAGAACAUAUGUGUAAGUAACUGUGCACAUCUUGACGGUACCUAAUCAGAAAGCCACGGCUAACUACGUG